GUAGGUGGCAAGCGUUGUCCGGAAUUAUUGGGCGUAAAGCGCGCGCAGGCGGGUCCUUUAAGUCUGAUGUGAAAGCCCACGGGCUCAACCGUGGAGGGUCAUUGGAAACUGGGGGACUUGAGUACAGAAGAGGAAAGCGGAAUUCCAAGUGUAGCGGUGGAAUGCGUAGAGAUUUGGAGGAACACCAGUGGCGAAGGCGGCUUUCUGGUCUGUAACUGACGCUGAGGCGCGAAAGCGUGGGGAGCAAACAGGAUUAGAUACCCUGGUAGUCCACGCCGUAAACGAUGAGUGCUAAGUGUUAGGGGGUUUCCGCCCCUUAGUGCUGCAGCUAACGCAUUAAGCACUCCGCCUGGGGAGUACGGCCGCAAAGGCUG
rnacentral:rRNA from 1 species